rnacentral:rRNA from 1 species
UACGUAGGGUGCGAGCGUUGUCCGGAAUUAUUGGGCGUAAAGGGCUCGUAGGCGGUUUGUCACGUCAGGAGUGAAAACUCGGGGCUCAACCCCGAGCCUGCUUCUGAUACGGGCAGACUGGAGGUAUGCAGGGGAGAACGGAAUUCCUGGUGUAGCGGUGAAAUGACGCAGAUAUCAGGAGGAACACCGGUGGCGAAGGCGGUUCUCUGGGCAUUACCUGACGCUGAGGAGCGAAAGUGUGGGGAGCGAACAGG